rnacentral:rRNA from 1 species
UACGAAGGGUGCAAGCGUUACUCGGAAUUACUGGGCGUAAAGCGUGCGUAGGCGGUUCGUUAAGUCCGUUGUGAAAGCCCUGGGCUCAACCUGGGAAUGGCAGUGGAUACUGGCGAGCUAGAGUGUGAUAGAGGAUGGUGGAAUUCCCGGUGUAGCGGUGAAAUGCGUAGAGAUCGGGAGGAACACCGUGCGAGGACGGGC